rnacentral:rRNA from 1 species
GACGAACCGUGCGAACGUUGUUCGGAAUCACUGGGCUUAAAGGGCGCGUAGGCGGGCUGCCAAGUCUGGGGUGAAAUCCCACGGCUUAACCGUGGAACUGCUGGGUAUACUGGCGGUCUUGAGCCACCUAGGGGCCUGCGGAACAAGCGGUGGAGCGGUGAAAUGCGUAGAUAUCGCUUGGAACGCCAAUGGUGAAAACAGCAGGCUGGGGGUGUGCUGACGCUGAGACGCGAAAGCCAGGGGAGCAAACGGG